AAUCAACGCUGGCGGCGUGCCUAACACAUGCAAGUCGAGCGAGAAAGGGGGGCAACCCCUGAGUAAAGCGGCAGACGGGUGAGUAACACGUGAACAAUCUACCCUCGAGUGGGGAACAACACCGCGAAAGCGGUGCUAAUACCGCAUAAAGUUCUUGGGUUGCAUGACCUGAGGAUUAAAGCGCAAGUUGCUUGAGGAGGAGUUCGCGGCUGAUUAGCUAGUUGGUGAGGAACGGCCCACCAAGGCGACGAUCAGUAGCCGGCCUGAGAGGGUGAACGGCCACACUGGAACUGAGACACGGUCCAGACUCCUACGGGAGGCAGCAGUGGGGAAUUUUGCGCAAUGGGCGAAAGCCUGACGC
rnacentral:rRNA from 1 species